GGCGGCCGUAACUAUAACGGUCCUAAGGUAGCGAAAUUCCUUGUCGGUUAAAUACCGACCUGCAUGAAUGGCGUAACGAGAUGGGAGCUGUCUCAACCAGAGAUUCAGUGAAAUUGUAGUGGAGGUGAAAAUUCCUCCUACCCGCGGCAAGACGGAAAGACCCCGUGGACC
rnacentral:rRNA from 1 species